UUUAGAAAUGAGUGAUGGACGUAACUAAAUGCACUUGCUGAAGAAGGCUCAGCCGUCAAGGGCACCUAAGUCUGUGGCAAGUUCAAGCAGUGAAAUGCUAUGGUUAUAGAGUAUUUCUCAAACUCAUCUUCUUUGUCAUCCCUGAAUCUGUAACAACCAAAGCAAUGAAAGCCAAAAGUCCUGGCACAGAAGGGCUUAUGGGACUCCCAUUUUGAAACCAACAAGAUAACCUAAUUUGUUUCUUGUCACCUCAACCCCCGAGGCUGUUAAGGACGGUGUUGAGAGAGAAGGCCUUACUCAAGACAAGAGGCCUAACUGGUGUUUGUUAAGUAAUACUAAGAGAUCGCUAUCUCUGGGAAGUUUCUAGCCAGAGAAAAUAGGUUCCAGGCUAUGAGAAAGUUCUCAGUUGAAGUCUUAUUUCCGAGAGAAAAAGAAGCAGAAAAGCUAGGGUAUAUAGUAGAUUCUGUAUCCAAUACUUAAAAAAAAAAAAAAAAAAAAAGCAACCCAUUGGUUGAAAUCAUUGCUAAAAAUUGCCAUGCCUGCCCAAAAGGCAUCUUUGGGAGUCACACAUCUUAGCUAGGGUACCAGCACAGGAUUGGUAGUGUUCAAGGGCUGUGCUGGCCCUCACUGCCUCCCAAAGCCAAAUGAAUAGCUUUAUUCUCUGUAAGGACAAGGAAGACAGAGAGAGUGCGAAUCCAUAAGACCUUGUAUGAGAAAGGAUCCUGGCAGGAAACGAGUGGCAUGCUCAACAGGUAACGGAGGAGCUUUAAGCCCCAGAGAGCUUAUCAAUAGAUCUGGCCUGAAAUAGAAAAUGAAAUUAAGUUGAAGAAAA
rnacentral:lncRNA from 1 species